rnacentral:lncRNA from 1 species
AAUAGGCUGACAGACAACUGUCAGUGCUGUAAUAGUCAGGAAAAGACAAUGUGAAUAAUUUCCAAGGAACAGGCUGAACCACCCUUGCUGUUGCUGUUGUUGCUGUUACUAUUGUCAUUGUUGGUCACUUUCCUUCCCUUCUAUGAGUGCUGUGAUUAGCUGGUCAGACUUUUGCUCAAUAACUAAACUCAGCAUCUAUCCUUUUAUAGAUUCUUAUAGAUUGGUGGAACUCACAGAUUUCAAAAAAUUUUAAUAUUGGAGAGGACCUUGAGAGUCAUCUAACUGAACUCUUAUCCUUUUAUAGAUGAGGGAAAUGAGGCUCAGGGCAAAUACAUGAUGUUAUAAACUGCUUUCUUUUUGCUGCAGAAUCAGGUCUAGAAUUCAGGUCCCCUGGCUCCUGGACCAAUAUUCUUUUCACCAUAUCAUCCUACCAUCUUUGCAUAUCAGUUGCAUAUCAGAAGUGACUGAUUUCAAGAGUUUCUCCUAAAGAAGGAAGAGGUGUUUGUGUUUCUUCCUAAUGCCUGGGUCAUUGCCUCCUGCCUAUCUUAAUCUAAGCACAUGAGUUCUUUUUCAGUCCAACACUCAAACUACCUGUGCCCCAAGCACUCACCAGAUAUUUAGACUCAGUGCAAGGGCUCCCCCAUGGAGACAACUGGUACUGAAUUAAUAAAAUGUGGUAAUGGUCUUCAAAAAUCUGGGCAAGAAUAGGUGGCAGUUAUUGAUAAAUCUAUCAUUGGUCCAUUGCACCCUGCAAAGAUUAAGGAAAAUAUAGUAAAUAUUCAGAUAGCCAAAUUUAUUCAAUUAAUUAACAUUUUGAGUUUGGUUUUUCUAUUUUUUUUCUUUCAAUAUUUAUGAUGCUGGGCACCGUUGGAGAUACAGUGAUUUGUCCUCAGAUUUGAGCAUUGCAUUCUAAGUGGAGGACACAGACUUUGAACAAUAAAACACAUAUUUCACAUAUCAGUAAGUUCUAUGCAGAAAAUAAAUCAGAGUAUCAGGACAGAGAAUGCCUAGAGUGAGGCAAGGGUUCACUAACCCAGGUAGAGUGGUUAGGGAGGUCUCUGAGGAAGUGGCAUUUGAGUGAGAGGAAUGGAUGAAGAAAAGAAACCACCAAGUAAAGAUCUAAGGGAAGAACAAUUCUGUCAGGAGAAAGCAUAUGCAAAGGUCCUGAGGGGGGGAUGGGGUUGGUGGUAGCAGAAGUGGAGUGAGAAAAUAGGGAGAACAGAAGCAAAUGAGAUCACAGAAGUGGUCAGGAGCCAGGUCAUUUAGGUAAGUCAUUUGGACUUUAUUUCACAUAUCACAGGAAGUCCACUGGAAGGUUUUAAGCUAAUAGGGCAAGAAAGAGGAAGACAACCUAUGAGAUUAUAAUGGUAGUGUUAAUGAGAGAAAAUCAUGAUGUAGACUGGAGGGGCGCUGGGUUGGAAAUGGGAGAGAGGAAAAGUGGCAGAUUUGGUGUUUAUCUUGAACAUUGAAAUGACAGAAUCUGCUGUUAAGACUGAGUGUAGGAAAAAUAUACAAAGUGUGGCAAACAGACUUUAAGGUGGUCUCCCUGAUCACUGCAUCCUGGUAUUGGUGCCCUUGUUUAAUCCCUUCGCUUUGAGUGUGGCUGCGACCUGUGACUGACUUUUAACCAAGAGAAUAUGGUAAAGGUAAUGAGAUGCCACUUUUGUACUUAUGACUGUGUCUUGCUAGUAGGCUCUCUCUUCUUCUCCCUCCCUAGCUUUGAAAGAGCAAAGCUAUGGCAGGCCUAUGGAGAAAGCCCUGUGGCUUCUAGCAGACAUCUAGGUAGAAGGCAGAACCCUUAGUCCCACAACCACAGGAACUGAAUGCUGCCAACAAGUUCCUGAGCUGGAAAGAUCACCAACUGAGCUUUCAGAUGAGAGCUAAGCUCCUGAUGAGAAUGGGACUGCAGGCAACACCUUGAUUGCAGCCUCCCAGGGCCUUGUUGAGCCCUGACUCCUGACCCAUGGAAAUUAUGAGAUACCAAAUUUGUGCUAUUUUAAGCUGCUACAUUUGUGGUAGUUUGUUACACAGCAAUAGAAAUGUAAUACAAUAGGAUGUUUAAUUCAGCUUUUCUAGUCUUAGUAUCAUGAAGUGUUUAAACAAUAAAAAAGCCAUGAUCCUUGAACACUUGAUUUACAGAUUAGGGAAACAGUGUCACAGCAAUAUGCCAGAGGCCAUGUGGCUCACUAGUAACUAGAAUCCCAUCUCCUCUUUCUACAACCAUGGCUCUUGUGCUGCACUACAUUGCCUUCUAAGUAUUACACAUUGUUUUUGUUUGUUUCUGUUGGUCUGUGUGAAGCACAUCCUAUAACUUUAUUCUGGGUUAUUGAGGCUUGUCAGAAGAAAGAUGUCUUCCUUUACCUCCUCUAGGAGAUCUGCCUGUAUGUGAUUCAUAUGAAUUCUUAAUCUGAGACAUGGCGGAGGCUCCAUCAUGGAAAUUAAGUGGUACUGGGUUAGGGAGAACCCUUUAGGCUCCCCCAGACACAGCAUAUUUCAAAACUUCCUGCCCAGUCAAGAUAACUCUCCUCUCUCCCCAUAACCUCUUGGGAGCCACUGAAAACUUUUGCCCUGUUUAUGUGGCCUUUCCUGGGAAGUAUGGGGUCACUGACGGGCUGUUGAAUUGAGGUGAUAGAAAGCAAGAAAAUAGAAAGUAUUUUUAAAAUAGAAAGAAAGCAGAAAAGGAAUGAAGGGAAGAAGGAAAGAAGAAAGGAAGGAAGAAAGGGAGGGAGGAAGGAAGAAAAGGAAGGAAGGGAGGAAGAAAACUACAUGACAGCAACGCAACCUAAAAUGCCAGUGACCCUUGGUGCUCAUGAUUAAACUGCAUGAUUAAACAUAAUGAAUAUCUCUCAUUAGCUGCACAGCUGCUGUCAAACCUGGUGGAUGCAUCUUAUCCUGUUCUUUAUGUCCAUUGCCAGAAACAAGAGACAGGAACUGGAUUUCUGGGUAAUGCCACUCUGAAAGUUGCUUUUUCUUUAUGUAGUUCAUGAAGUAUUGGAAGGGUUUAGCAAAGAGUCUCAUCAUAUCAGGAGACUUCAAUACUUACUUUCAUGGCAGAUCUCGUAAUUCUCACAUAUUUUCUUGCCCUUUGUCUCUCCACCUGUUCCUUGUUUAGUCUAGUACAAAGUGACCAUUUUCAUUCUUUUAAUAUUAUGAUGAAAAAAGUGGAAUUCUUCUUUUCUGUGUAUGAUUCCAAGCAUUGGAGUCGACAGGCAAAAUAGACAACAGAAAUAGAGUGACAGGUGACAGAUAAAUAUCCAUGUGCUCUGGACAACCAAAUGUUUUUCUAGAUUACAAUAACUUGGGGUGACUCAGGAUGAAACAAGGCUUGUAAAUUAGUAUGGUUUAAGUUGUCAAGCUGUAGGUUGGACUCUUGUUCAGCUAUUUGAUAUAAACAAAUACUAGCCAUCAUAUUUUAUGGGGAAAUGUCUUGCCUAGGUACCCAUGAAUAUUUACAGCAAUUCUGAGAAUAAUUUGAAAUUACCGAGCCUCUCCUAUCCCCUUUUCUAGGAAGAUCCAUCCUGCAGAAAUACUUUCCUCACUUGCCAGGAUCUUGAAAUUAGAAAAUUAAAAUCCCCCACCAUCCUGCAAAAAUACUUUCUUCUCUUGCCAAGAUCCUGAAAUUAGAAAGUUAAAUAUUUUAUCCUUUGCUUAUUUGUUGUUUAACUGAAAUGUAAAUAACUCAGGAAUGAUAACAAAUGAAGCUUUGUCAGCUAUUUAUACAUGAAAGUGAGUCUAUCCCAUUAUUUCCUGGAGCAGGUUUAGCUGAGGGGUAGGAGGCUGGUUUGAUCGUGAGGGAAGUUAUAUGGGGGGAGGCACUAGGAGGGCACAGGUGUGGGGGAGUGCACCUAGGGAUGGUUGGGCAAAGGGAAGGGGAGCUUCCCUCUGAAGACCAACGUAGUCCACUUGACAAUCUGCCUGGCCAGGCAACAUCCUAAUGUGAGUCUCAGCUUCUUUCCUGAUCCUUGUAAGAAACUGUAGAUGUCUGAACAAGCUCAGAAACCUAAAUAACAAUUGAUGUAGCACUUAAGGGCCACACCUUGUUACACAUUGUUUAGCAACAUAAAUAUUAUUCUGUAUAGUUCCAUGUAUUCAAAGCUUUUAAAAGCACACUGUAUUGUCAGGUUACUUAAGCAGGUCCCAUAGUACUGCCUUCCUGUCUGAUAAGGUAUAUUAAGGAUAUGCAAAUUUUUCUUACAUAGGCAAUGCAUAAAUGUAGCUACAUUUUCUGAAUUUAUGUAUUUUGAGCAAAUUUAAUUUUCGGUCUGGACACUUUACACACUGUCUUUAGUAACAUUAUCAUGAUUGAAAUUGGUCAGUUAGUUCAAACAAAUGAUUAAUUUAGUAGGAUAUUCUUUUAAUUUGGGCAUUUUAUUCUGUUGCUUAAAAAUAUAAACAAAAUGAGCACACACAAAAAUAAAUCCCAAAUAAAUACCAAGCCUUCCAGUUAACUGCUAAAAAAAAUUGAGGCAUUAGAAAACAGGUUAUUGGCAAUAGUGAUGGGAAUUUUUGUGAAUCUACCAAGAGUUGAAAGAAUUUGAUUGUGACUAACAUGGCUUUGGAGAAUUAGUUUUUUGUUUGUUUGUUUUGCUUUUUAGGGCUGCACCCUUGGCACAUGGAGGUUCCCCAGCUAGGGUCGAAUCAGAGCUGUAGCUGCUGGCCUAUGCCAUAGCCAACGACAAUGUGUGAUCCAAGCCGUGUCUGCGACCUACACCACAGCUCACAACAACACGGGAUCCUUAACUACUGAGCAAGGCCAGGGAUCGAACUCGCAUCCUCAUGGCUCCUAGUCAGAUUAAUUUUCUGCUGAGCCAUGAUGGGAACUCUGAGAAUUAGCUUAAAUAUAUAUAUGUUUAUAAAAUUUUCCCUCUGUAAUGGAGAAUAACCUGUACAGUUACUGUGGGGUAAAAUGCCAUUAUAUAUUUGUCCAAACCCGUAGAAUGUACAACAUCAAGAGUGAACCCUACAAAAAUAAAUAAAAAGUGUCAGUGUAUGAAAGAUUAGCCUCAUUGUGUUGAGAGAAAUAAAACAGAAAAAUAAUGUUUGCAAUUGACUAGGGAAACUUACAAAUGUUUGGCUAAACUCUUUAGGCAUACAAAUUAAAUUCAUUAUCUUACUAGGUUUUCCCUCAUUUGUACUGAAAUCAGUUUUACCUCAUGGACCAGAUUACUAAAGAAAGAUGGCAAAGUUCCUGUCAUGGCUCAGUUGAAAUGAAUCCAACUAGCAUCCAUGAGGAUGCGAGUUCAGUCCCUCUCCUUGUUCGGUGGGUCGGGGAUCUGGAUCUGGUAUUGCCUUGAGCUGUGGUGUAGUUUGCAGAUGUGGCUUGGAUCCCCUGUUGUUGUGGCUGUGGUGUAGGCUGGCAGCUGCAGCUCCGAUCCGAUGAGAGAGAGAGAGAGAGAGAGAGAGAGAGAGAGAGAGAGAGAGAAAGAGGGAGGGAGAGAGAAAGAGAGAGAGAGAGAAAUGAGGAAGGGGAGAAGGAGAGAGAAAGAUGUGUAUGCCAAGGGAUGCACACACAUUUUGAUUCUGCUCUUGGCUGGUUCUGCCUGCCCUCCCCAAUACCUGUAAGCCAUGGGUGGACAGAAAAACUGCUGCUUUCAUGGGGACAGAAUAUUUUCUUGCUAUAGGCUGCCUUGUUGGGAGGUUUGCCACCUUCCCUCCAGAACAUGGACCAUUUGUUUUUGUUGGUAAAGAAAUUUUGGAAGAAGUAAGCUGUGUUCCUUGGUUUUGUUAAAAAUAGGGUGCUUGUGAUGGUAGUUAAGUUUGGGAGUCAGGGAGGUUUAAAAACAAUGUGUAGGUAUGGGCCAGACCCUUGUUUUCAGUUGUGUAGUAUUUGCUGAAUAGGAUUCAAUAUGUAACAGACACAAGCCAAUACAGACAAUCUUCGGAAGCUGAAAGAUGUUUUAAAAGUAAAUUAAGUUAGGAGUUCCCUAGUGGCCUAGUGAUUAAGGACCCAGUGUUGUCACUGCUAUGUCUUGGGUCACUGCUGUGGUGCAGUUUAGAUCCCUGACCCAGGAAUUUCCUAAUGCUGUUUAUGUGCACCCCCUCCCC